rnacentral:rRNA from 1 species
GAUGAACGCUGGCGGCGUGCCUAAUACAUGCAAGUCGAGCGAACAGACGAGGAGCUUGCUCCUCUGACGUUAGCGGCGGACUGGUGAGUAACACGUGGAUAACCUACCUAUAAGACUGGGAUAACUUCGGGAAACCGGAGCUAAUACCGGAUAAUAUAUUGAACCGCAUGGUUCAAUAGUGAAAGACGGUUUUGCUGUCACUUAUAGAUGGAUCCGCGCCGCAUUAGCUAGUUGGUAAGGUAACGGCUUACCAAGGCAACGAUGCGUAGCCGACCUGAGAGGGUGAUCAGCCACACUGGAACUGAGACACGGUCCAGACUCCUACGGGAGGCAGCAGUAGGGAAUCUUCCGCAAUGGGCGAAAGCCUGACGGAGCAACGCCGCGUGAGUGAUGAAGGUCUUCGGAUCGUAAAACUCUGUUAUUAGGGAAGAACAAAUGUGUAAGUAACUAUGCACGUCUUGACGGUACCUAAUCAGAAAGCCACGGCUAACUACGUG